CAUGGCCGGGGCAUUUUACUUGAUAUUAAACUAGAAACAAAGAUGAGGUAUGUGUGUACAGUGAUACAAAUGAUCGGAGGGGGGAGGGAAGGUGAAGGGGCACAUGCAUUUAUAACUGGGAAUGGGACGGGCGUGAUCAGUCCAGCACUAAUGCACUGAAUCCCAUAAGAACUCUAUAGUUAAGUGUCCUUUGAAUCCUACUGAAUCCUCGUGUUGCACAUGUCUUUUUUCAAAUAGAGCAUUAAGCAUUAUGCACGACCGGAGACGCAGUCCACUUGUUCAUUCGCUUGCGUGAGUCUUGGCACCAUUCAUUUAUAGUCCACCAUGUGAUAAAAAUAUCAUU
rnacentral:lncRNA from 1 species